CCCCAGAUUGGCAUGUGGAGCCGUCAGGAUUGUCACCACCUUUGGGGUUUUGGGUUGUGUUCCAUGCCACACCAUUUAAAAAAAAAAGAAUAAAAAUGAAUCAACAAACGUAAAUGGAACAUGAGAGAAUUCGA
rnacentral:sRNA from 1 species